CGUUCGAAUUGUAGUCUGGA
rnacentral:snRNA from 1 species